rnacentral:misc_RNA from 1 species
GUUCAAGUGGUUGAGUUUUGUAACUUUCGUGUAACUUUGGUUAGGUUACGAUAGAGGAGAAACAGUGCUUCUCCCCUACCUCACUAGUCGCGCGAAUCUUCCGAAGAAGACCACCACUAGUCCUGCGCUGCAGAGAGCACUAACUCCUUGCGGAGUUAGCGACUCCAGCUCGAGCCUGAGCUCGCGCUCGUUCUUCCUCGACUAUCGUCGGGUCAACUGGUAAUGAUCCUUCCGCAGGUUCACCUACGGAAA